AAGGGCACCACAAGAACGCGUGGAGCAUGUGGCUUAAUUUGACUCAACGCGGGAAAUCUUACCGGGUCCGGACACACUGAGGAUUGACAGGCGCAUGUAGUUUUUUUCUUUUUUUUUCUUUCGGGAAAGAAAAAAAAAAGAACUACUAUAAAUAUGCUAGUCCUUUCAUGAUUGUGUGAUAGGUGGUGCAUGGCCGUUCUUAGUUCGUGGAGUGAUCUGUCUGCUUAAUUGCGUUUCAGAAAUAGGUUCUUUGAGGUUUUGUUGUUACAGUGUGACAAUAGUUUCUUCGGAAAUUAUGCUGUCCCUGUAGCUCAGCCCAUGAACCUUGAAGGCAACGAACGUGACCG
rnacentral:rRNA from 1 species